CCUGGCUCAGGACGACGCUGGCGGCGUGCUUAACACAUGCAAGUCGACGAUGAUGCCCAGCUUGCUGGGUGGAUUAGUGGCGAACGGGUGAGUAACACGUGAGUAACCUGCCCUUGACUUCGGGAUAACUCCGGGAAACCGGGGCUAAUACCGGAUAUGAGCCGCCUUCGCAUGGGGGUGGUUGGAAAGUUUUUCGGUCAGGGAUGGGCUCGCGGCCUAUCAGCUUGUUGGUGGGGUGAUGGCCUACCAAGGCGACGACGGGUAGCCGGCCUGAGAGGGCGACCGGCCACACUGGGACUGAGACACGGCCCAGACUCCUACGGGAGGCAGCAGUGGGGAAUAUUGCACAAUGGGCGAAAGCCUGAUGCAGCGACGCCGCGUGAGGGAUGAAGGCCUUCGGGUUGUAAACCUCUUUCAGCAGGGAAGAAGCGCAAGUGACGGUACCUGCAGAAGAAGCGCCGGCUAACUACGUGCCAGCAGCCGCGGUAAUACGUAGGGCGCAAGCGUUGUCCGGAAUUAUUGGGCGUAAAGAGCUCGUAGGCGGUUUGUCGCGUCUGGUGUGAAAACUCGAGGCUCAACCUCGAGCUUGCAUCGGGUACGGGCAGACUAGAGUGCGGUAGGGGAGACUGGAAUUCCUGGUGUAGCGGUGGAAUGCGCAGAUAUCAGGAGGAACACCGAUGGCGAAGGCAGGUCUCUGGGCCGCAACUGACGCUGAGGAGCGAAAGCAUGGGGAGCGAACAGGAUUAGAUACCCCCGGGG
rnacentral:rRNA from 1 species